GAUGAACGCUAGCUAUAAGCUUAACACAUGCAAGUCGAGGGGAAACGGCAUUAUGUGCUUGCACAUUUUGGACGUCGACCGGCGCACGGGUGAGUAUCGCGUAUCCAACCUGCCCUUUACUUGGGGAUACCCCGUUGAAAGACGGCCUAAUACCCGAUGUAAUUCAUUGAUGGCAUCAGAUAUGAAUAAAAGAUUUAUCGGUAAAGGAUGGGGAUGCGUCUGAUUAGCUUGUUGGUGAGGUAACGGCUCACCAAGGCGACGAUCAGUAGGGGUUCUGAGAGGAAGGUCCCCCACAUUGGAACUGAGACACGGUCCAAACUCCUACGGGAGGCAGCAGUGAGGAAUAUUGGUCAAUGGGCGCAAGCCUGAACCAGCCAAGUAGCGUGCAGGAAGACGGCCCUAUGGGUUGUAAACUGCUUUUAUACGAGAAUAAUUUGAUGCACGUGUGCGUUAUUGCAUGUAUCGUAUGAAUAAGGACCGGCUAAUUCCGUG
rnacentral:rRNA from 1 species